rnacentral:rRNA from 1 species
AUUGAACGCUGGCGGCAGGCCUAACACAUGCAAGUCGAACGAGUGGCGGACGGGUGAGUAAUGUAUGGGGAACUGCCCGAUGGAGGGGGAUAACUACUGGAAACGGUAGCUAAUACCGCAUACCAUCGGAUGAGCCCAGAUGGGAUUAGCUAGUAGGUGGGGUAACGGCUCACCUAGGCGACGAUCCCUAGCUGGUCUGAGAGGAUGACCAGCCACACUGGGACUGAGACACGGCCCAGACUCCUACGGGAGGCAGCAGUGGGGAAUAUUGCACAAUGGGCGCAAGCCUGAUGCAGCCAUGCCGCGUGUAUGAAGAAGGCCUUCGGGUUGUAAAGUACUUUCAGUGGGGAGGCGUUACCCGCAGAAGAAGCACCGGCUAACUCCGUGCCAGCAGCCGCGGUAAUUC